UAAUACGGAGGGUGCAAGCGUUAUCCGGAAUCAUUGGGUUUAAAGGGUCCGCAGGCGGUCAAUUAAGUCAGAGGUGAAAUCCCAUAGCUUAACUAUGGAACUGCCUUUGAUACUGGUUGACUUGAGUUAUACGGAAGUAGAUAGAAUGUGUAGUGUAGCGGUGAAAUGCAUAGAUAUUACACAGAAUACCGAUUGCGAAGGCAGUCUACUACGUAUAUACUGACGCUCAUGGACGAAAGCGUGGGGAGCGAACAGGAUUAGAUACCCUGGUAGUCCACGCCGUAAACGAUGGACACUAGUUGUUGGGAUUUAUCUCAGUGACUAAGCGAAAGUGAUAAGCGUCCCACCUGGGGAGUACGGUCGCAAGAUUG
rnacentral:rRNA from 1 species